GGAUGUGAGGGUGACAUCUGUUAUCCCACUGAUCGCCAGGCUUGAAGUGGCUGGUCUGGCUGAUUAGGUGGGUGUCCCCUUCCUCCCCUGCUGCUUCAUGUGUAUCCAUCCUGAUUAGAGGAGGAUAGCCCUUUGGUUAAGGGUAUACAAUAGCUGUGCUCCCCUGCUAAAACAACAUCAAUUCUUUCCUGUGUACUUCCAGAGGUCAGAAAACUUAAACUAAUUUUGUGCCACUAAUGUAAAAAUGUAGGAAUGCCGGCUCAUGUAUGGAGGUCUUGAGGGGGAAUUUGUUUCUCUACUGUUU
ensembl:misc_RNA 7SK 7SK RNA